GGGCAAUUGUGGGAUUUAAGUGUGAGAUUAGCUGAAACCCACGACCAGUUUUCAUACCAAUCGUCCUGCCUUCAAUUAGUCGCUUCAAUUCUCCCCUCCGUUUCCAUCCCACCCUCCUUAAGCUAUGGUUCAUGGUCAGAAAGAGAGAGAGCGACAAAUCGGAAGCGAUUGGAAGCAAGAUCGAUUUAGAAGCAGGCCCGACCAGAAGCUAGGGUUUUAAGUAUUCCAUUCAGACGAUGGCAAGAAAAGAACAUCAACAACAAUCAUCAACCAUCUUAGCUAGAGAAGUAGAGCCUAAAGAUGCCAUGAUAGGGCAGGGCGGGGCGACGCAUGCAGACAUUUUGGAUUGGCCACAACAUAUGUUUGGUUUUCAGGUAGUUGAUAAGCUUCAAUGGUAAUGGAGAUGGUGACACGGUAGGGAGUUAUUUUUGUGUGGUCCCUUUGUUCAAUGGAUUUUGACAAAGGUAUUUUUUAUAAUUUUUAUGAGUGUUCUUGGCCAUUUGUUUGCCAUCCUACGUAUAGAUAGCAUGAUUUUUAUAUAUGGAGUACAUUGGGCAUUUAAUCAUGAAAUAUAUGUGGAAUUAACUUAAGGUUUUAAUCUCAGUUUGCCCAGAUGCUUUUCUUUUUCAUUUUCUUUAUUCAUUUCACUUGGCUGUGAGCUGAACAAAAAAUCUGGAAAAUGCAUUUUUUUCUUUUUGUUUAUGGAUUUGAGUCAUUUUGUUUGAACUUUCUUAAUCAGGUUGUCUCUGUUUUUGUUCACUCAUGAUAGUUGAUCAUGACCGUGGGUUGCAUCAAGUACAGAAGGAGCCCUCUGUGUUUGGGAUUAGUUAUUUAAACUCUUGAUUGAUAGCUUGUUGAAUUCUUAAUAAGAGACCUGUUAUAUGUGUGAAGAUUAAAGCUAAAUAAUCAUUGACGGCUCAAGUUUUUAAAUAAUAUAUAUCAUUUCAAGCGUCAAGAAUAAUAAAGAACAACUAGGCCUGUCGCUGUGGCUGUGUUUCUUAAAGCUUUCGAAGCGACUUGGCGCGUGUUCGAGACUCCGCUCUCACGUCCUUUGGGAACAAGGUGGAGAAGCUUUGGGAUCUUUCAAACAUUACUGUGAAUAAGCAAGCUGUGUUUGGUGACAACAGUUCUUUGGCUCCAGCAGGUGUUUGUAUUGGUAUGUUUUUCAUCACCCAUAUAUACAUGUACUUAAGUAAUGCUCACAGCGUAUUAUAGGAGAAGCUGAAUGAGGUUGGAUGACAAUGUAAAAUUCAAGAAAGAAAGCAUGUAAAAUAGGUCAAAUAAACAGAUAGAUGGGGUUCGAUGGAUUCGGCGGUCAAGCAAGUUAGAAAUGAGAUCAAGGGAUGGUCAGUUCCAAACACGGGUCCGAAUGGUGUUUUGGAGUAAGUUAGCAGUGCCUAAGAUACACUGCAUCCGGCUGCCAUGGCUUUAGCAACUAGAGGCCUGGCGUAUGGCGAUAGUACAUGCCCUAUGUGCAGUGUGGCAGACGAGACGGCUGACCAUCUAUUAGCCAACUGUAUGACUACCAACGCAGUUUGUUGGAUGGUGUGCGUUUGGGAUAAAUCCCGAUGCCCAGCAGCUUUGAAAUUGUGAAGACGUUACUCGAUCAUGCCCAUAAUGUUGGCAGAUCAACUAAGGAGAAAUAAUAACGGGAUGACCCACUUAGAUACUAAUAUGUUGGAAGAGUUAAGGAGCACUCAUACGGUUGGAUGGUGUAUAGGGCCAAAUGCCCCUUGCUUUGGAAAAUUGGACCCAGCUUUGAGUCUGUAGUGUCUAAUUAGCUUUGUGUAUUGGUUUUGCUUUGUUUGGGGUCUAUUGAAAUGGCUUAGCUGCUUGCUAAGUUUUGUCUUUGUUUGGUUAAUAAAGUUUCUCCUUUUGUUGGGCAAAAAAAAAAAAAAAAAAA